GAAAAACGUCGCCAGAGAAUGCGAGGGUGUUAUCACCAGCAGGCUAGACCUGUGGUAGUCGCACUGGGAGUUUUUCUUUUU
ncrna:unclassified sequences DTF3800-VII RNA